CCAGGGCUCUGGGGGUUCCGGGGUCACGGCUCGGAUCCCCGAGCCAGGUUCGUGCGGAGCCGGCUCCUCCUUGUCCCCGCGCGGACGCGGCCCCCGCUGCUCCAGGUGCAGCUGCAGCAGGGCGCGGCGGUACAUGGCCUCCAGCUUCUCCAGCCGGGCUCGCAGGGCCCGCGGGCUGCCCGGCUCGUCCCCGGGGCCGCCGCCUCUAGCCCUGCGGUUCCUGCCGGCCUCCUCGGAGCCCGGGGUCGCCCUGGCCGCCUCCGCGGGCGCCCCGUCGGCGCCCUCGCCGGGGAGCCGCAAGGCCUGACGGAAGAGGCUGCGGUUCUCGCGCUUCAGCCGCCGGGCCUCCAGGUGGCUGGCGGCUAGGUCAGCGAACCGCUCCUCCAGCUGCUGGCGGCUGCCGCCCGCCCGGCCUCGCCAGCCCGCGCCGCUGCCGUCGCCGCCCCCGCGAACCCGGCCCGGGCGGCUCUGCCCGCCGCAGCAGCUCCCGCGCCUGCCGGCGCCAGCACGCAUGCGCC
rnacentral:lncRNA from 1 species